CCGCGUGUGUGAUGAAGGUCUUCGGGUUGUAAAGCACUUUCAGUUGUGAGGAAAGGGUGUAAUUUAAUAAAUUAUAUCUGUGACGUUAACAACAGAAGAAGCACCGGCUAACUUCGUGCCAGCAGCCGCGGUAAUACGAGGGGUGCAAGCGUUAAUCGGAAUUACUGGGCGUAAAGCGUUCGUAGGCGGUUAUUUAAGCAAGAUGUGAAAGCCCAGGGCUCAACCUUGGAACUGCAUUUUGAACUGGGUAACUAGAGUACUGUAGAGGGUGGUGGAAUUUCCAGUGUAGCGGUGAAAUGCGUAGAGAUUGGAAGGAACAUCAGUGGCGAAGGCGGCCACCUGGACAGAUACUGACGCUGAGGAACGAAAGCGUGGGGAGCGAACAGGAUUAGAUACCCUGGUAGUCCACGCCGUAAACGAUGUCAACUAGCCGUUCGUGGACUUGAUCCGUGAGUGGCGCAGCUAACGCACUAAGUUGACCGCCUGGGGAGUACGGCCGCAAGGUUAAAACUCAAAUGAAUUGACGGGGGCCCGCACAAGCGGUGGAGCAUGUGGUUUAAUUCGAUGCAACGCGAAGAACCUUACCAUCCCUUGACAUCCUCAGAAGCCAGUAGAGAUACAGGCGUGCCUUCGGGAACUGAGUGACAGGUGCUGCAUGGCUGUCGUCAGCUCGUGUUGUGAAAUGUUGGGUUAAGUUCCGCAACGAGCGCAACCCCUAUCCUUAUUUGCCAGCGCGUUAUGGCGGGAACUCUAAGAGACUGCCGGUGGUAAACCGGAGAAGUGGGGACGACGUCAGUCAUCAUGGCCCUUACGGGAUGGGCUACACACGUGCUACAAUGGCAGUACAGAGGGCAGCAUACCGCGAGGUUGAGCGAAUCCCACAAAGCUUGUCGUAGUCCGGAUCGGAGUCUGCACUCGAUUCCGUGAGUCGGAUCCGCUAG
rnacentral:rRNA from 1 species